rnacentral:rRNA from 1 species
CCUACGGGGGGCAGCAGUGAGGAAUAUUGGUCAAUGGACGAGAGUCUGAACCAGCCAAGUAGCGUGAAGGAUGAAUGCCCUAUGGGUUGUAAACUUCUUUUAUAAGGGAAUAAAACGAGGCACGUGUGCCUUUUUGCAUGUACUUUAUGAAUAAGGAUCGGCGAACUCCGUGCCAGCAGCCGCGUUAAUACGGAGGAUCCGAGCGUUAUCCGGAUGUCUUGGGUUUAAAGGGAGCGUAGAUGGGGUGUUAAGUCAGUUGUGAAAGUUUGCGGCUCAACCGUCAAAGUGCACUUGAUACUGGCAGUCUUGAGUACAGGUGAGGUAGGCGGAAUUCGUGGUGUAGCGGUGAAAUGCUUAGAUAUCACGAAGAACCCCGAUUGCGAAGGCAGCUUACUAAACUGUGACUGACAUUGAUGCUCGAAAGUGUGGGUAUCAAACAGGAUUAGAUACCCGGGUAGUC